rnacentral:rRNA from 1 species
CGGGUGAGUAACGCGUGGAUAACCUGCCUCAUACAGGGGGAUAACAGUUAGAAAUGACUGCUAAUACCGCAUAAGCGCACAGGACCGCAUGGUCCGGUGUGAAAAACUCCGGUGGUAUGGGAUGGAUCCGCGUCUGAUUAGCUGGUUGGUGAGGUAACGGCCCACCAAGGCGACGAUCAGUAGCCGACCUGAGAGGGUGGCCGGCCACAUUGGGACUGAGACACGGCCCAAACUCCUACGGAAGGCAGCAG